AAAGGGUUAUAAACAGCGGGAGUGCCUGAGCGAGUAGCUGUGGGGGGGCUGCUGGGCCCGGCGGCAUACUGCGCUGCUGCGGCGUAAGUGGUGGUGGAGGGCUGGGCCUCCUCAGGAAGUGAACCUGCCCUGGCGGACUGAAGGGGGCGGCCCAGGCUCGCUGAAGGCUUGUUCCUCCGGGUCGAUUGGUGAAGCGAGCCGGAUCUUGUGCGGGAACCCGGCGGUGGUGACUGGACCGGUGGGAUCGUCGGGGUGGCCGAGCGGUAGGAGGAUGCUGGAGAAGAUGGCAGUCUUGCCGGGGGUGGUGAAGGCUGGCCUCGGCGUCUUGGUGCGCACAGGUCUGAUCAGGCCGGUGUGCGGCCGCGAGGAGAAGCCUGGGGCUCAGGUGCGACGUCCGGCGUAGGAAUGAUGGUCGUGUGGCCGUUGGAAUGCGAAGGUGCAUCCCCGGCGAUAUUCACUUCUUCAUCAGAUGAAGAGCUUGGUUUUCUCGACAUGGUUCGCAGAGAGGAGAGCUGAAGAGCUGUUGACUGCUGAAAACUGUCAAUGAACAGAGGUAGGUUCUGCUGUUAUUUAUACCUUGGCGUGAGUUGAUUACUGAUUGGUCUCCACUUGUGUUAAUCAGGUUAAUGAACUGCGACUGUUCCUCCCGAACUUUGUUAUAAAACAGCAUAUAGUGAUUAAUAUUAUUAUUACUGUUGUAGUUGUUGUUGUCUGAAAUUGAACACCUUUGCAAUGUAAACAAAUGAGAGGCUACAUGUGUUAUUCUUACCUGUUGUGCUCUUCAUGAACCAGCUGCAUAGGGAUACACUGCCUUUUGCUGCCUCAAGCAGCUCCUUCUUUUUCUGUUUUUUUAUCCUCUCUUUGCGAGGCAUCUUUGCACUGCAGAACACACACACAAACACAAAAGGACAUUUCAUACCUUUUCCUGAAACCUACUAGGGUCACAUCUCCUUUACACUGCACUUUGAUGUCAGGUCAGGUAUAUUAUUCAUUUUAUAUUGACAUUGAUAUUGUUACAUUUAUUUCCAGAGAGAUAUUAUUGAGUUUAGAGGCUAAAGUGGUCUUGCUGUUGUAAACACUGUUGCUAUUGUAGAAAAAAAGUGUCACAUUUAAAAUAUUAUUAUAUUUUAAUUCAUUUCUGAAUUGUUUUUAUUUUUAUAAUGAUAAUUCAGAGAAUGAGAAUAAGCCUUACCAGUGUUGUGAUAAUUAUUUUUAAGGCACUCUACGUUUAAAAAAAAAAAAAAUACUGUAAUAUAAUAAUAGUUUAGUCAAAUAACAUAAAAAAGACCAGACCCCUCGAUGCCUGUGAAACUUUUCUCCCUCAAACAGCACGCUAACAUUACUUCUACACUACAGGCUACACACCGCAAUAUAAACAACAUAUCUGCAUGUCCUCACAUCACAUCGUUCUUGUAAAAUAAUAAUAAGUAAAUAAACAUCAAAAUCACUUCGCUGAGAAUGAAACA
ensembl:lncRNA